CCUACGGGAGGCAGCAGUAGGGAAUCUUCCGCAAUGGACGAAAGUCUGACGGAGCAACGCCGCGUGAGUGAUGAAGGCUUUCGGGUCGUAAAACUCUGUUGUUAGGGAAGAACAAGUACAAGAGUAACUGCUUGUACCUUGACGGUACCUAACCAGAAAGCCACGGCUAACUACGUGCCAGCAGCCGCGGUAAUACGUAGGUGGCAAGCGUUAUCCGGAAUUAUUGGGCGUAAAGCGCGCGCAGGCGGUUUCUUAAGUCUGAUGUGAAAGCCCACGGCUCAACCGUGGAGGGUCAUUGGAAACUGGGGAACUAGAGUGCAGGAGAGAAAAGCGAAAUUCCACGUGGUAGCGGUGAAAUGCGUAGAGAUGUGGAGGAACCCCAGUGGGGAAGGCGCCUCUCUGGGCUGUAACUGACGCUGAGGCGCGAAAGC
rnacentral:rRNA from 2 species